UUUGACCUCAAAUCAGGUAGGACUACCCGCUGAACUUAAGCAUAUCAAUAAGCGGAGGAAAAGAAACUAACAAGGAUUCCCCUAGUAACGGCGAGUGAAGAGGGAAAAGCUCAAAUUUGAAAUCUGGCAGUCUUGCGGCUGUCCGAGUUGUAAUCUAGAGAAGUGUUUUCCGUGCUGGACCGUGUACAAGUCCUUUGGAACAAGGCGUCAUAGAGGGUGAGAAUCCCGUCUACGACACGGACUCCCAGUGCUCUGUGAUACACUCUCAACGAGUCGAGUUGUUUGGGAAUGCAGCUCAAAAUGGGUGGUAAAUUCCAUCUAAAGCUAAAUAUAGGCGAAAGACCGAUAGCGAACAAGUACCGUGAGGGAAAGAUGAAAAGCACUUUGGAAAGAGAGUUAAACAGUACGUGAAAUUGUUGAAAGGGAAACGCUUGAAGUCAGUCGCGUCUUCAGAAACUCAGCCUGGCUUUUGCCUGGUGUACUUUUCUGUUGGACGGGCCAGCAUCAGUUUCGGCCGCCAGAAAAAGGUGGGAGGAAGGUGGCACCCUCGGGUGUGUUAUAGCCUCUCAUCGUAUGUGGCGGCUGGGACUGAGGAAUGCAGCACGCCUUCAAUGGCCGGGGUUCGCCCACGUAACGUGCUUAGGAUGCUGGCGUAAUGGCUUUAAACGACCCGUCUUGAAACACGGACCAAGGAGUCUAACAUGCCUGCGAGUAUUUGGGUGGUAAACCCAUAUGCGGAAUGAAAGUGAACAGUUGGGACUUCUGUCAUGGAAGGCACCGACGCCCGGACCAGACCUACUGUGACGGAUCCGAGGUAGAGCAUGUAUGUUGGGACCCGAAAGAUGGUGAACUAUGCCUGAGUAGGGUGAAGCCAGAGGAAACUCUGGUGGAGGCUCGUAGCGAUUCUGACGUGCAAAUCGAUCGUCGAACUUGGGUAUAGGGGCGAAAGACUAAUCGAAC
rnacentral:rRNA from 1 species